rnacentral:rRNA from 1 species
UUUGUAUAAUGGGUCAGCGACUUAUAUUCAGUGGCAAGGUUAACCAUCUAGGGGAGCCGUAGGGAAACCGAGUCUUAACUGGGCGUUCAGUCUCUGGAUAUAGACCCGAAACCAGGUGAUCUAGCCAUGGGCAGGUUGAAGGUUGAGUAACAUCAACUGGAGGACCGAACCGACUAAUGUUGAAAAAUUAGCGGAUGACUUGUGGCUAGGGGUGAAAGGCCAAUCAAACCUGGAGAUAGCUGGUUCUCCCCGAAAGCUAUUUAGGUAGCGCCUCGGACGAAUACUACUGGGGGUAGAGCACUGUUAAGGCUAGGGGGUCAUCCCGACUUACCAACCCUUUGCAAACUCCGAAUACCAGUAAGUACUAUCCGGGAGACACACGGCGGGUGCUAACGUCCGUCGUGGAGAGGGAAACAACCCAGACCGCCAGCUAAGGUCCCAAAUUACUACUAAGUGGGAAACGAUGUGGGAAGGCUCAGACAGCCAGGAUGUUGGCUUAGAAGCAGCCAUCAUUUAAAGAAAGCGUAAUAGCUCACUGGUCGAGUCGGCCUGCGCGGAAGAUGUAACGGGGCUAAGUAGUAAACCGAAGCUGCGGCAAUGUGCUUUUGCACAUUGGGUAGGGGAGCGUUCUGUAAGCGGUUGAAGGUGUGUGGUAACGCAUGCUGGACGUAUCAGAAGUGCGAAUGCUGACAUGAGUAACGAUAAAGGGGGUGAAAAACCUCCUCGCCGGAAGACCAAGGGUUCCUGUCCAACGUUAAUCGGGGCAGGGUAAGUCGACCCCUAAGGCGAGGCCGAAAGGCGUAGUCGAUGGGAAACGGGUUAAUAUUCCCGUACUUCUUACAAUUGCGAUGGGGGGACGGAGAAGGCUAGGUGGGCCUGGCGACGGUUGUCCAGGUUCAAGUGCGUAGGCUUAAGAGUUAGGUAAAUCCGGCUCUUUCUAAGGCUGAGACACGACGUCGAGCACCUACGGGUGUGAAGUCAUUGAUGCCAUGCUUCCAGGAAAAGCCUCUAAGCUUCAGAUUGUAAGGAAUCGUACCCCAAACCGACACAGGUGGUCGGGUAGAGAAUACCAAGGCGCUUGAGAGAACUCGGGUGAAGGAACUAGGCAAAAUGGUACCGUAACUUCGGGAGAAGGUACGCUCUUGAUGGUGAAGUCCCUUGCGGAUGGAGCUGACGAGAGUCGCAGAUACCAGGUGGCUGCAACUGUUUAUUAAAAACACAGCACUGUGCAAAAUCGUAAGAUGACGUAUACGGUGUGACGCCUGCCCGGUGCCGGAAGGUUAAUUGAUGGGGUUAGACUUCGGUCGAAGCUCUUGAUCGAAGCCCCGGUAAACGGCGGCCGUAACUAUAACGGUCCUAAGGUAGCGAAAUUCCUUGUCGGGUAAGUUCCGACCUGCACGAAUGGCGUAAUGAUGGCCACGCUGUCUCCACCCGAGACUCAGUGAAAUUGAAAUCGCUGUGAAGAUGCAGUGUACCCGCGGCUAGACGGAAAGACCCCGUGAACCUUUACUACAGCUUGGCACUGAACAUUGACCCUACAUGUGUAGGAUAGGUGGGAGGCUUUGAAGCACGUACGCCAGUAUGUGUGGAGCCGUCCUUGAAAUACCACCCUUGUAGUGUUGAUGUUCUAACGUCGACCCCUAAUCGGGGUUGCGGACAGUGCCUGGUGGGUAGUUUGACUGGGGCGGUCUCCUCCCAAAGAGUAACGGAGGAGCACGAAGGUGGGCUAAUCACGGUUGGACAUCGUGAGGUUAGUGCAAUGGCAUAAGCCCGCUUGACUGCGAGAAUGACAAUUCGAGCAGGUGCGAAAGCAGGU